UACUGUCUGCACUUAUAUAUAUGGAAACUGAAGCUCAGGGAAGUUAUGUUGCCUCUCUGGGGUCACUCAGCCUGUAGUUCCCCUGAGUGUUCCCAAGCCUGGACUAAGACCUCCCAGAACACCACACUGGCUUCUCUUGCACAGCGUCCCUAGGACUUUGCCCAGAAAAUGAUGUCAUAAAACAACUGGUUUUUGGCCAAAUUCAUUAUGGUGCAUUUCCCUCAAGGAACGUACCAGUAAGAGCACAUUAUGCCCGGGUGAGAAGUAGCCCAGCUUCUGAAGUCUGGCUGGCAUCCUCUAAGAGGUGGCCCGGUCUUCUCAGCUCUUGCAGAAGCUGAGCCUGUUAGGUAAACACCCGGAUGUCGGCUCGGGUGUGGGAGCAAAUGAUCGAUGAAGGAACAUUCGAAAGCAGAAUGGAUCUCCCAGAGCAGGCCCUAAGCUUCCUGUGUUUACAGGCCUCCAAAUGAAAUCACCUGGCUGUUUAUAGGAGUCUUAGUGCUGAUGAAAAGACAGUUACACUCCAAACUUCUCCCUGCCAAAGGAGAAAAGUUCCAGGUUCUUUAAAAAGUGUCUGAAUGUAGAGAAAAGCAGGAAGAAAAGCUGGUUGCUGUUUGCCCCAAAGCUUCAGUGGAUGGAGAACUGAAUGUUAUCUUCCAGGUACCCUGAAGCAAUUACCUACUGGGAGACGUGGGAGGAACCCACUCUGUAGGAGCAGGGGCCACCGGUAAUGUGAUACGUGGUUGUUGUGUGUGUAAAGGGCUAAUACUUUUGACAGCCAGCAUCCUAAAGGGGUGUAGCAAGUCAUUUGAAAUUUGUACACAGACUGCCCUAUCCAUUACGCAUCGCCCAUAUCCUACCCAUAAUCUCCCAAGGCAGAUAUGCUAUUACACUCAGCGGGCCAAGGUCUGCCUCGGCUUAUAUACACACAACUCCCACUGACUCUGUGUCACGAAGCCACUUCAAUGGGACUUCUCAGCGGCAUAAAUUUAGCCCGGGACCGUCACAACCACAGCGGGCGCAGCUAAACAGAGAGCCCUGGCUGUGUGUUAAAAAGGCUGAGGAAGAACAAAAAAGCUGCCAGUUUUCAUAAGAAAUCUUACCCCUCGAGCAUUCAGAACUGUAGCCUGCCGCCUGCCGCACUGUCCUCAUCCUGCAACCUGCCGAUCCCAAGCUGGGACUUGGAAGAAGCAAAAAACAGUGUGGGCGUUAAAAAAAAACCAAAAACAAACAAACAACAAAAAAAACCCACCCCGGUCUGCUACAGGGCAUAAAAUGAUGCUUUGCAUCCAACCUCAUGAUGUGAGGGAAGAAUUCCCCAUCGGUGCGCCUCAGAACAUUCAUUGAUCAAAAUGUAAAGGAACAUCUGGGAACCAAGGACCCUCUUUAAAUAUAGUAUAUUUAAAAUACAUAAGGCAAAGGUACAAAGAUUCCCCGAUUUUUAAAGUUACUGGUUUAUCUAUUUGAGUCACAUGGGGUAAUGGGUGUUCCGAUAAGUAACAUAAUAUCGUGAGAAUUGCCCUGUUGGUUACUUCAUGGGGCCUUCCACCAUGUUCACUAACGUGAUUCUCUGGGAGCUCUUUCUUGGUCUUUCAGACGUCCCCACACCAGACUUUAUAAGCAAUCAGGCAUCACUGAUCUCAAGCAUGAAAUAAAGGUCAGGAUUUUAAUUUCGACUCCGAGUCCUUGCCUUUGCCAACAACGAAGUCUACUACUCCUGCACGUGGAAAACGCUGUAGUCUGGGUGAUGCCUCAGUGAAAUUCUACUUUGGAGAACUGCUCUUGGUCCUGCACCAUGGCUGUGAGCGGAUACGGGAAGAGCACUAGAGGUCGCUGCUGGGGAUUUUAAUGGGAAUCUAUCCUACACGAAUGUCUUCCUCACCAGCCUGGUCCAUGGGAUGGGCCCUCAGAUGCUGAAUGAGUCCAGCUCUGAUUUGUGCCUGUUCUUUGACUCCUGCAUUGUGACCGAGCUUGGAGAAGCAGCUGGACCAGCCUUAUUCAUGAGAGCAACUUGGGAGAGAUUUCUCCUUGGACAGUUUUAUGCGGAUGAGUCGGGGGUUAGAGGUUCUCUUCUUAGAAAAAUGCUCACACAGACUUCAGAUGAAUUUCCGGGACUCCUCAGGACUUGUUUCAACAGUCUUAAAGAGGGGUCAUCAGGACGCUCGUGUGGAAGGGGCAAGGAAAAGCCUCUUUUGGGUUACCCUGAGUCAGAAAAUUUCCAUUUCAACAUUGUCAAUCGCUCACCUUUUAUGUGAGGUAAAUUCACUAUCACAGACCGAAGUGUUGCCUUUCAUUUGUCUUUCUCAUUCUUUCUUUCUUUCUUUCUUUCCUUCCUUCCUUCUUUCCUCUUCCUCCCUCUCUUCCUUCUUUUUUCCUUCCUUCCCCUUUCUUUCUUUCUUUCUUUCUUUGCCUUCUUCUUUUUUCUUUUUCUUUCUUUCUUCCCACAAACCCAGGUAUUUAGGUCUCUGGCAAAACCGCACAAACCAAGAGUUCCUCCUCCAAUGAUGCCUUUCAGAGCUCAGGUGAUACGCCUCAUUGGGUUACACCUUCCAUGUUUUGUGGUCAGAUGUGGGCUGUGUCAUUCUACUUCACUCCACCUUGCAAGAAAAUAUUUAUGUAUUAGCCUCCCCAGGUCGCAUUUCCUUUGGGAUUGCUCCUGACUACGCCAUCUCCAUGCCAGCGGCGGGCAGUCGCGAGGCCGACCUUCACGGGACCGCUGGGCGCGUCUGCAGCAAAGAGGAAUCUGCUCCUUCCCCCUCGGACUUCACUGAGCCGGAAAACUACGAGAAUGUUCUUUGUCUCACGAUGUGGGGAAUGUUCUUUCGUUAGCAGUUCAGACAGUGAUACAAUUUCUUCAGAGCCUUGUCUACACCUGUGUAAGGGCAAUAAAGAUGAAAAAGAAAAAGUGCAUACCACACAUCACCAAGAAUCAACGGUUGUGCCUGGCAGUAUAACCGAGAAAGACUUUGGACGGUAUUAGGAGCAAUUUUCCCUUCCACACCUGCAGAAAUGCACUGACAUUAAACACACAUGUACCAAGGGCACGUGUGCAAGGCUCAGUCUUAGACGGAUGUGACCAGUGGUUGGACGAGACCUUUGGAUGAGAUUCUCUCAGGACUCCAAUGUGCUGAGGUUGGGAAAUGCUCAGGCAUCCUCCAGGCACGGUUGGCUGUGUUGCUAAUGGGAUUACCGCUGGCCUGAUCUCAUUCCAUUAAAUAUUUUCAUCAUCAGGAGGGAGAAAAUUAUUGUUCACCGUUCCCAAAAUGGUAACAUUUUCAGGGUUAGUCCACUGAAAACAUCUACUGAAGGGAGUCCAGUUAACUACAUGCAAGAAUGAACUCCUCAAGGACCAGCAAAAGGUCAGUUGGAAAUGGGAAAUGCACAAGAGAUUAUGGCGGACUGAGAAGAUGGGCUCUGAUGACCCGGGCUCUUCUUCUGACUUUACAGCCUUCUUGAUGGGCGAUGUUAGAUAAGUUAGCUCACCUCUCUGUGCUUCAGCUUUCUUCUCUGGGCAAAGAGUUAGAUGAAAGGAGGCAACUGAUUCUGUUAGAAUCUCUCCUGGUAGGAGCAGAAAUAUUUUUGUUGUUCCCCAAUGUACUCCAAAUGCCCAGAGGGGUUGUCUGCACAGAGUCGGUGCUCCUUGUUUGUUGAAUGAAUAGCUUCCUUCCAGAGUGACAGAAAAUACAGAAGCCUUUCUCUAAGCUCCCUUUGCAAGUGUCUUCACGUUCUCAGAGAGUGAGCCUUCACUGGAACGUUCUUAUCGCUGUUUUAACAGUCAGAUGGCCCCAGGGUUUUGUUUACCAUGCCUGACAAAAACCGAGUGGCACAGUUAAAGGUCUAAACGCUCUGUGGACUUUUACAUCAUCUGAAGUGUUUAUUGACUCGAACGGAAGUAGAUGCAAAUAUUUGAAGCUUCAACCAAGUCGGGUUUUUUUUUAAUUUUACUAUUUACAAAACAAGAUAUUUUAUGGAUGUAAUUUAUACAUUGAGUGGAAGAGGGCUAUUCCUAAUAUUAUCUUUAUCUUCUAGACAUAAAUAACAAACAACUCCAGUAAUCAAAAUUUACUACAAUUGUAAUAGAUUUUGGCAGAGUUUAUGUAUUGCAGGCAAAGCUAACAUAACACCAACUUCCAAGGAUAUAGGCCAGGAUUUUUAGUUUGGCUUUGUUAAAUAGAAAAAAAAAAUCUACUACUGUAUUUUCAGGUUUUACUACAUUCAAGAGAUUAAUUUUCAUAAAUAAAAUACUUUAUGCCGGCUUCUCAUCAGAAAGUUGAAAUUAUCUGAGGCAAUGUAACCACUAAAAACUUGUAUACUAUGAAAAUAUUUCAAUAAUUAAUGCAUGCUUCAUCUAGAGUAAUUGACAGGAGGUCAUAAACGUAAUGGGCCAUCUGUGUUUGAUUUGUACGAGAAAAUGCUUAAAGGGAUAGGCAGGUAAUUCAAGCUUCUCUGGCAAGAAGAUUUGUUCCAACUUCUCCAAGUAGCAGAGCCAUUUACUAAAGGGGUUUUCCUUUCUUAAAGUCUUUUCCAGAUUUCUUCUGGAGCUAUGCACUUCUCACUGCUACUCAUUCUAAUGUAACAAUCUCCUUUAGAGUUUUGGUGUAUAUGUGGAUCACGGCCAUCUCAACAAUUAAUGCUUGGCUCUCCUAACCAUUUCAAUAGCAACUUGAAAGCCAUAUGUCUGAUUAAAAAACAAAACAAAACAAAACAGAGGCUCACUUCAAUGCUAUGACUUUACCAUUCAUUCUGCUCAGUUUGACCACUUCAAAAAUUAGUUUUGUAAUUUUUCCUCAACUGUCAGGAAGCCAACAACCUUGCCUAUAUAUCUGUACACAAAGAGUAAUAGGACCACUAGGACUGUUAGUAAGAUUUCUGUAAUUCACUCCUGUGGGAGUGGACCAGAAUCACAAUAUUUCAAGACACAAAAUGGUCUUGGUAGACAUCAAGGAGAUUCUAGAGUUCUCUGGAAACCAGAGAGUGCUGAAUAAUCGCCUGUCCUGAGAUCCAGACCCACAAAUUCAUUCAAAAACACACAUUCAGCUGGAAUUGGCUGAGAAUUUGUCAUCUGUCAGGUAUUGUGUGAAGCGAUGAUUAUGUUGAAAGCCACCUAUCUGAUUGGCUGAACUAAAGUAACCAAUAAAGAUAAACCAACAAGGUCCCUGAAUUCAUGGAUCUUACUUUCUAGUAAACGAACAUUUUCCUUAUAUAUCUCAUAGAUACCAUAAACGCCAUGCCUGGAAAAUGAAAUGUGCUAUCUCCCCAAACUACUUGUGCUGGAAAAAUCUGUUUCUCCUCCUGUAUGCCCCGAUUCAAGAAAAUGUGGCACCAUCUUCUUGGUUCCUCAAGGCAAAACGUUAGGAUUAUCCCAGGCUCUUCUCCUCUUUUCUCUUCACCAAAACCAUUAACAAGUUCUGUCUCUGCUAACAACUUAGAACUAUUUGACCCUGCUUCCUUUUUAUCAUCCCUAACUCUGACACCCUUAAUUCAGUUCUGUG